GAGCGGUAACAGGCGUAGCAAUACGUGCUGACGAGCGGCGAACGGGUGAGUAACGCUUCGGAAUCUGCCCAAUGGUGGGGAAUAACCAGCCGAAAGGUUGGCUAAUACCGCAUGAGCCCUACGGGGGAAAGCGGGGGAUCGCAAGACCUCGCGCCGAUGGAUGAGCCGAAGCCGGAUUAGCUAGUUGGUAGGGUAACGGCCUACCAAGGCGACGAUCCGUAGCUGGUCUGAGAGGACGACCAGCCACACUGGGACUGAGACACGGCCCAGACUCCUACGGGAGGCAGCAGUGGGGAAUAUUGGACAAUGGGGGAAACCCUGAUCCAGCGACGCCGCGUGUGUGAAGAAGGCCUGCGGGUUGUAAAGCACUUUUAGUGGGGAUGAAAAGCUCAGAGCUAACACCUCUGGGUCUUGACCUAACCCACAGAAAAAGCACCGGCUAACUCUGUG
rnacentral:rRNA from 1 species